UACUAUGCAAAAUUAAUUUAUCAUUCCAAUUAAUAUACUGUAACUAAUAGCUGCCAGAAUUAAUAUAAUAAUCCAAAGUCAACAUUCUCAUAAUCCAAUACCUUAAAACCGAAUCGGAAUACUAACACGCACAUAAAUGAAAACAAUGCUGCAAGAUUAUAAUACCAACCUAAGAUUAAGUUCUGCAAAAUCGAAUUAGGCCCUUGUAUACAAACACUUUAAGUACACCAUUCUCUAGCAGACCAAGAGGGAAAUCCGACAAAAAAGACAGUAACUCUUCAUUGUGAAGUACCAAUAUCAGAACUAGAACUUUAAAUCCUUAAGUUUAUGAAGUAGCAAACAAAAUAGCAGCAGGAAAAUCCGGUACACUAGAAACAAAUGAACAAAUCUGUCAUCGUGCUAAAACAAUAAAAAACAGCAUAAGUCCAACCGCUCAUAAUAACGGGACCUGAUCGUACCGGACCUGCACACCAACAGCGGCAUCCGACUGUUUGCAACUCUAAGGUGACAUCAAUAUACACCGAUGAAACGUCCUUCACCCAGAUCCAAAACUCAAUUAAAUACAACAAUGAAAAAAUAUAUUCAAAGCAACCUCAAAGGAUGAAUAAAAAAAAAAAAAACCAGCUCUUUAUUUUAUAAUCCUAAAACAAACAAAACAUUAGUCAUCAAAGUGACCUCAUAAAGAAAUCAGAAAUCUGACCACAAGAUAGAAAUGUAAUGGAUUUUUUUAAAAAAAAGGUAUAAUGAAUCGCAUAGUGAGGAGGUAAUACUUAAAGUUGAUUUGAAAUUUUACCGGCAGAAACAUAACUUCGGUUACACACGCAUACGUAGGGAUUCCGUCAACUCUUCGGAUUUACUGGCUAAUUUCUUGGCGGAGAGAUCGCCGGAAAACGAACAGCGCGCAGCGGAGCAGGUUGGAGGGUCGUUGGCGGAGCUUUGUGGUUUGUGAUGAUGGAGGUGAGCGUUGGUUUGUAGAUCUAUGAGUUUUGUGGGUUUGUCCAGAAGGGUCCCUUGGAAUAUGAACGCAGAGCCUCUUUUAUUGAGAGAGAGGAAAGUGGAUUUCUCUUCUCUUCUUUUUCUUUUCCGUUGGUUAAUAGAGAGAGUGUAUUGUGAUGGUGAGGUAGAGUGGAUAGAGGAUACUCUAAGAGAGAGAUGGGUGGGUCUUUCGUGUGACCGUUGGGGAGUGUGGUGAGAGAAG
rnacentral:lncRNA from 1 species